CAGUAGCCGCGGUAAUACGUAGGGUGCAAGCGUUAAUCGGAAUUACUGGGCGUAAAGCGUGCGCAGGCGGUUUGUUAAGACAGAUGUGAAAUCCCCGGGCUCAACCUGGGAACUGCAUUUGUGACUGGCAGGCUAGAGUAUGGCAGAGGGGGGUGGAAUUCCGCGUGUAGCAGUGAAAUGCGUAGAUAUGCGGAGGAACACCGAUGGCGAAGGCAGCCCCCUGGGCCAAUACUGACGCUCAUGCACGAAAGCGUGGGGAGCAAACAGGAUUAGAUACCCCAGUAGUCCCUGUCUCUUAUAC
rnacentral:rRNA from 1 species